UUUUUUUGACCCGCCAAGGAAACAAUGGCGGCCUCGUUAAGACAAUAGGGGCAGAAACACGCAACUCGCCUAUAUCUGGCGCCAGAUUCGUCACGGCUGCGACAGGGCAAGACAGAGCGAGAGCCGCCGCCACGGCACGAAAAACACAAACGGCGCACAAAACGGUCCUCUCAAAGAAAAAAAAGACCAGAGACAAAAACCGACGGGGUCUCAAUGCAGCGAUACCAUCGUGGAAAGUCGUGCCAAUCUGGCGCCAGGUAUAGGCUUGGUGCACAAUCAAAAGAAUGGGCAACUAUCACAACGCCGGUUGUCGUUGCGACAUUGACCCAAUAAACCCGUGUGACAUGAUAC
rnacentral:lncRNA from 1 species